rnacentral:rRNA from 1 species
UACCAUGCAAGUCGAGCGGUAGCACAAGAGAGCUUGCUCUCUGGGUGACGAGCGGCGGACGGGUGAGUAAUGUCUGGGAAACUGCCUGAUGGAGGGGGAUAACUACUGGAAACGGUAGCUAAUACCGCAUAACGUCUUCGGACCAAAGUGGGGGACCUUCGGGCCUCACGCCAUCAGAUGUGCCCAGAUGGGAUUAGCUAGUAGGUGGGGUAAUGGCUCACCUAGGCGACGAUCCCUAGCUGGUCUGAGAGGAUGACCAGCCACACUGGAACUGAGACACGGUCCACACUCCUACGGGAGGCAGCAGUGGGGAAUAUUGCACAAUGGGCGCAAGCCUGAUGCAGCCAUGCCGCGUGUGUGAAAAAGGCCUUCGGGUUGUAAAGCAUUUUCAGCGAAGAGGAAGGGUAGUGUGUUAAUAGCACAUUGCAUUGACGUUACUCGCAGAAGAAGCACCGGCUAA